AUUGAACGCUGGCGGCAGGCCUAACACAUGCAAGUCGAGCGAGCGGCGGACGGGUGAGUAAUGUCUGGGAAACUGCCUGAUGGAGGGGGAUAACUACUGGAACCGGUAGCUAAUACCGCAUACCAUCAGAUGUGCCCAGAUGGGAUUAGCUAGUAGGUGGGGUAAUGGCUCACCUAGGCGACGAUCCCUAGCUGGUCUGAGAGGAUGACCAGCCACACUGGAACUGAGACACGGUCCAGACUCCUACGGGAGGCAGCAGUGGGGAAUAUUGCACAAUGGGCGAAAGCCUGAUGCAGCCAUGCCGCGUGUGUGAAGAAGGCCUUCGGGUUGUAAAGCACUUUCAGCGGGGAGGCGUUACUCGAAGAGAAAGCACCGGCUAACUCCGUGCCAGCAGCCGCGGUAAUAC
rnacentral:rRNA from 1 species